rnacentral:rRNA from 1 species
UGGGGAAUCUUGGACAAUGGGCGCAAGCCUGAUCCAGCCAUGCCGCGUGAGCGAUGAAGGCCUUAGGGUUGUAAAGCUCUUUCACCGGUGAAGAUAAUGACGGUAGCCGGAGAAGAAGCCCCGGCUAACUCCGUGCCAGCAGCCGCGGUAAUACGGAGGGGGCUAGCGUUGUUCGGAAUUACUGGGCGUAAAGCGCACGUAGGCGGACCAGAAAGUUGGGGGUGAAAUCCCGGGGGCUCAACCCCGGAACUGCCUCCAAAACUAUUGGUCUAGAGUUCGAGAGAGGUGAGUGGAAUUCCAAGUGUAGAGGUGAAAUUCGUAGAUAUUUGGAGGAACACCAGUGGCGAAGGCGGCUCACUGGCUCGAUACUGACGCUGAGGUGCGAAAGUGUGGGGAGCAAACAGGAUUAGAUACCCUGGUAGUCCACACCGUAAAA